AGCCGAGGGGCGGGGCGGGCCCCGGAAGCGGCGGGAACGUAAGGUCGCCGCCGCGUCUGCGCCGUCGCACGCGCGGGCUCCUCUUUGUCUUUGGGCGUUAACUCUUGGUUGUCCUCGCCUGGGCACCCAAGGAGCCGCCUCGCUUGGCGGCGCGGAGUCCGGGCCUCUGGGUCUGGCAGCGGGAAACCGGCAGGGGCCUGGGACCCACACUGGCUCCCGGGAAAGGCUAGACUGCAAGAAAGGAAACUCCAGCGAGAACAAAAAGGGGCCAGGAUGCGUGAUCAGAAGAACCUGACAAAGUCCAGUGCUCACUGCUUACUCCGGGAGAGCCUAGCUGCCAUGGAACAGGGGUAUGCCCAACAAAGGGCAUUCUGCGCUCGGUCUGCUGUUGCUGACAGGUAAAACCACUGCACAGCGCCCAGUCCUACCUUAAAUCCAGUCGGGCACCAAUCCACAAACUGGAUGGUGCGCUUGGUCUUGAUGGUGGCGAUGGCUGCGUUGACAUCUUUUGGGACCACGUCCCCCCUGUACAACAUGCAGCAGGCCAUGUACUUGCCAUGCCGAGGGUCACACUUGACCAUCUGGUUGGCUGGCUCGAAGCAGGCAUUGGUGAUCUCGGCCACGGACAGCUGCUCGUGGUAGGCCUUCUCGGCAGAGAUGACCGGGGCGUACGUGGCCAGGGGAAAGUGGAUGCGGGGGUACGGGACCAGGUUGGUCUGGAAUU